UGGAGGCAAAGACGGUGUUGUUUUGCUGUGGGAUUUGGCUGAGGGGAAGAAGCUUUACUCUCUUGAAGCUAACUCUGUGAUCCAUGCCCUUUGCUUCAGUCCCAACAGGUACUGGCUAUGUGCUGCAACUGAACAGGGUAUUAAGAUUUGGGACCUGGAGAGCAAGAUCAUUGUUGAGGAUUUGAAGGUUGAUCUUAAGGCUGAGGCCGAGAAGGCUGACAACAGUGGUCCUGCUGCCACCAAGAAAAAGGUUAUUUACUGCACAAGCCUGAACUGGAGCGCUGAUGGAAGCACCUUGUUCAGUGGUUAUACCGAUGGAGUUAUUAGAGUUUGGGGUAUUGGUCGUUAUUAGUAAUCCCAUCACUCGUGCACUUGGUUGCUCUAUCUGCUAUCUCGUUGUUGGUUUUCUUUUAUCCCUUAUGUUUUGUCAACAACUCAUAAAGUACCCUGAGGUUUUCAGAAGGAUGUUUGGUUUCAUGUCAAUCUAGGUUUGCUUUUUUAUCUUAUCACGUAAGAAUCUUGCGGUUUUGGAGUUACUCUUAUUUUGUGUCAAA